GCUCCCUGGGGAACCGAGGGAGGAAUGGGCGGGGUCCUCAGGUGCCCGGCGACGUCAUCCAGCCCCCAAGGCUCCAGGACGCAAAGGGUCCCCUGAUCUGGCAGUCCCUGGACCUACCCUGGAGAGCGUGGGGGGACAAAGGCCGGACGCGCCGCCCGCUGCCGCCUCCAGGAAGCCCUCCCUUGCCAGGACAGUGGAGUUGGCCGGGUGUGGACAGCAGGAAGGGCCGGCGGGAAGGGGGGGUGGAAAGAGCCACUCCUGGUUAAUAACUCUGCGGGGUUAACCUAGGGCCGGCCAUACUCAAGUACGGACUUGAGUAAAAUUCAGCAGGAAAAGGAGCAGGGUGGGCGCCGCUAGAGGGAGGCUUCAGGACUGAGGGUCAGAGGCCCAAGGCCUGGCAGGGCCCUUCCCUGGUCAGCUCCAGGCUUGGCCUGAUGCCCGGUGGGCCACGGGCCUCUUCCAGCCUCAGGCUGACCCCAGAGAAAGAGGACAGCCCACAAGCCCGGGAGGCCGGCUUGCUGCCUGGUCAUUGCUGCAGAGCCUGGAGGGGGCCUGCGCUCAGUCCCCGCUGACCGUCCCCUCCCUUGACCCUGCCAUAGCCAUCUGUGUAACCCAGGGGAAAUUAUUCCAAAGGGACUUCCACUUCUGAUAAUCUAUGAUUCUAUUUUCUAAAAAACAAAACUCUAAAAUGCUUAAUGUCAAACAUCUGUCAUCAGCUGAACAGGAAAAGGAACAGUCCUUCCAAAGUGCCUACGGAAAGCUUUGUCCCAUCCUUGAAAAAUUGCUAAUGGGUUUGGAGAUACGAGGUGGAGAUGACUAGCAAUCAAACUCAAAGGUGGAAGUCACAUCGAGGCAGAUGAGCAGAUGAGGGGACCUAGAGAAGAAGAGAGGUGCAAGGAGAGCCCAGCCAGCAGGAACAUCUGCCCCAGUAGGCAGCACUGCCCCACAUCAGAGUCGAGGAAAGCAAAGCUCGGAUUGGAUAAAAGAAACUUGCAAACACGGUCAGUGCUUACUGCAUGUGGGCUCAGAGCACGUUACCCUCCUUCCCUGCAUGUUCCUGUGAAACGGGUUUACUGCUCUAACUCUCAGGGACACUGUGAAGACCAAACGAGAAAAUAGAAACAAACAUAAUUUAUAAACCAUAAAGUACUGACACCAAAAGAGGGGCGAGCACAGCAUUGUGAAUGUGCUGGUACUAAAUGGUUUGUUUUAAGAUGAUUUUAUGGUGUGUGAAUUUCACUUGAAUAAAUUUUU
rnacentral:lncRNA from 1 species